rnacentral:rRNA from 1 species
UACGUAGGGUGCAAGCGUUGUCCGGAAUUAUUGGGCGUAAAGAGCUCGUAGGCGGUCUGUCGCGUCGGCUGUGAAAACCCGGGGCUCAACCCCGGGCCUGCAGUCGAUACGGGCAGACUAGAGUGCGGUAGGGGAGACUGGAAUUCCUGGUGUAGCGGUGGAAUGCGCAGAUAUCAGGAGGAACACCGGUGGCGAAGGCGGUUCUCUGGGCCUUACCUGACGCUGAGGAGCGAAAGCGUGGGGAGCGAACAGG